UACUCCUACGGGAGGCAGCAGUGGGGAAUUUUGGACAAUGGGCGAAAGCCUGAUCCAGCAAUGCCGCGUGUGUGAAGAAGGCCUUCGGGUUGUAAAGCACUUUUGUCCGGAAAGAAAUCCUUGGCUCUAAUACAGUCGGGGGAUGACGGUACCGGAAGAAUAAGCACCGGCUAACUACGUGCCAGCAGCCGCGGUAAUACGUAGGGUGCAAGCGUUAAUCGGAAUUACUGGGCGUAAAGCGUGCGCAGGCGGUUUGCUAAGACCGAUGUGAAAUCCCCGGGCUCAACCUGGGAACUGCAUUGGUGACUGGCAGGCUAGAGUAUGGCAGAGGGGAGUAGAAUUCCACGUGUAGCAGUGAAAUGCGUAGAGAUGUGGAGGAAUACCGAUGGCGAAGGCAGCCCCCUGGGCCAAUACUGACGCUCAUGCACGAAAGCGUGGGGAGCAAACAGGAUUAGAUACCCUGGUAGUCCACGCCCUAAACGAUGUCAACUAGUUGUUGGGGAUUCAUUUCCUUAGUAACGUAGCUAACGCGUGAAGUUGACCGCCUGGGGAGUACGGUCGCAAGAUUAAAACUCAAAGGAAUUGACGG
rnacentral:rRNA from 1 species